UGCUCCAUUGGCAUAGUGGUUAGAGCGUCCACCUCAAAUGCGGGAUGUCGUGGGUUCGAUCCCCAGUCGAGUCA